rnacentral:misc_RNA from 1 species
UCGGCGGUGGCUGCUGUGGCCUCCGACGCCACGGCGGUGCCGUUGUUAGGAUUUCCGGCGGAGGCGGCGCCGCCACCGCAGCCGUUAUUCUGAUUGCCGGAAGGAUCCGCGCUCGCGGCCAUCCGUCGGUCACCGGCUAAACUGCGGUGUCGUCGCCGACAACGAGGCGAAAGAGGUGGGCGGUGGGCUGAUUUUAAGGCGGUGGGAGAGGG